rnacentral:rRNA from 1 species
GACGAACGCUGGCGGCGUGCUUAACACAUGCAAGUCGAACGGAAAGGCCCUGCUUUUGUGGGGUGCUCGAGUGGCGAACGGGGGAGUAACACGUGAGUAACCUGCCCUUGACUUUGGGAUAACUUCAGGAAACUGGGGCUAAUACCGGAUAGGAGCUCCUGCUGCAUGGUGGGGGUUGGAAAGUUUCGGCGGUUGGGGAUGGACUCGCGGCUUAUCAGCUUGUUGGUGGGGUAGUGGCUUACCAAGGCUUUGACGGGUAGCCGGCCUGAGAGGGUGACCGGCCACAUUGGGACUGCGGUACGGCCCAGACUCCUACGGGCGGCAGCAGUGGGGAAUAUUGCACAGUGGGCGGAAGCCUGAUGCAGCGACGCCGCGUGCGGGAUGACGGCCUUCGGGUUGUAAACCGCUUUCGCCUGUGACGAAGCGUGAGUGACGGUAAUGGGUAAAGAAGCACCGGCUAACUACGUG